rnacentral:tRNA from 1 species
AGGGAAAUAGAGGAACAAGGUAAACUCGCUCGCAAGUUUUUGCUACGAAGAACGAACGAGAGCUGCAGGUUCGAGUCCUGCUUUCUCUA